ensembl:lncRNA
CAUAGGUAACAACUCAGAGGAGUACAAUGUCUUUCCAAAUGAAUUAGUGGAAUGGUAAAGGGAUAAUGUCUCAGUCUUGACUGAGCAGCAGCCUAAACAGCAGCAGGGCUUACCUGUAAAGUACACAGUAGGGGAAAUGUUCUGAGGCUGGUACUCCAGAGACUCUUGAGGACAGAGGUUCUUACUAACUUUCUUGGAACCCUGGUUGGUGGGAAAAGGCACAUUAAAACAAACUGAAAAUUGUUCGAUAUCUUAAAGUACAGCUUAUCAAUUGCAAAGAAGCAGUGCAAUGCCAUGACACAAAUAAUCAUAUAUCUCACAAAAGGUCAACAGCAGUGUUAUUCAUGAAAGAUGUAUGUGUACUAUACCUUUGUGUUAAAGGUGAGGACCUGCUCUCCAGUACUGCUGAUGGUAUCCCUUUCCAAAUCAAACACGCCUUCUACAAUGUCACUGGUGGCCACGCUGGUAGCGGACUCAAAAUAACAUUUAGCAGUGGCUUUGGUGAUCAUUUGAAGAAUGACCAUGCAAGUAGAAGUCUUUGGAUCGUUCUGGACUGAAACAUCAAAGUUUAUGUUUUCAUACUCAUCUGACCACUGUCUCAGGAAGCCCUUCACUGUCUCUUCAGCAAAUAUCUGGAGAAGCUGAGAGGAGAGCUCCUUGGAUAUGGCACAUUGUUCCUUUCCCCAUUUCAGCCUUGAAAGAAUGGAGUCUGAAGCACUUUUGGCUGCUUCCAAUGUUAAGACCUGUGGAGUGCUGUGGCUGUCCUGAAGGGCUAUCACUUUAUCCACCAAUUCAUGACUGAAAAUGUGGAUGGUCCAAGUGGAAAUGAUUUUUCUCAAUUUCCUAACAGCAGAUCGGAGGUCGUCAAGAUGAGAAGCACCCUGUCCAUCUUCCUGUGUGUUCUCAACACUUUCCACCAUAAUGUCCACUACCACCCCAGCAGCUUGCCUGACUUUGUCCACAAAGGUUACAGGAAGUAAGUCCUCUGUGUGAAAGAAGUCCUCAAUGAUUGUGUUUCUAACAAUGGGAAAGUCCAUCUGAGCAGGAAACUCAGUGGGGAUGGGAGUCCCGGGUAAGGCAAAGUGCCAUUUCGACUGCCUUAAUUUUGAAGUAGGUGUUAGAGAGAUGGAGGAGUGUGAAGAAGAGGUAUUUCUUGUAUUUUGGCUGUCAGCACUCCUACAACGGAUCGUGCCAAUAUCCUCCAGCAUGGAUCCUGAGAGCUCAGUGGUUUUAGAUAGUAAUUUGUGCGGAAUGUCCACACAGGCAUCGUUUCCACCAGGUGUAACACUGCUCUGGUUGACCUCAAGAUGGCCGAGACUUGCUCUUUGUGAUGCAGGACUGCUUUGAUAUGUAAAGAUUUGGAUUGAACCAAGUGUUGUGUCUGAUCUCUGAAGAUCUUUUCUGAGAAACUCCGUAAUCUUACUUUGCAGACUGUAGUAGAUGUUACGAGCAACAGACCAGAUCCUUUUCUCAGAAACCUGUCCAGUGGUGAGCAGGGAGGUUCCAGAUACCAUGUCAGAUGAUUGGGUGGUCUGGGUUGCGCCGAGCUCUGCAAGUCUUCCACAAAUGUUUCAAUGAUGCCAAAGGCAGCAGAAUCCGCACAAAUAUCCUUUGACCAUGUGUACUGGUUUUGAAUGGAACAAGACCUGGAUGCUACAGAAUAAGCAGGCUGUGCACUAGUUAAGCUACUGGUGGACUUUUUAACUAGGAACUCACUCACUGCUUGAGUGGCAUUUCUCUUAAAUUCCUCACUUGAGAGUUUUCUAAUACAAUCUAACAGACUGGUCAAAGAAGCUGUGGCCUUACUUCUGCUGUCCUCAUUUUGACAGGAGAACUCACAUACUAUUGGUGAUGAGGACCUGGAAUGGGAGAUAUCCCCAAGCUGAGCCAGAACACCCUCUACAAAUUUCUCUCUCUCAAUAGAGAAGCCUGAUCCUUUUUCUCCAACAGUGUACAGGGGUCCUCCUUUGACAUCUCAGUGUUGUACAAGACCAGAAGCUCUGAGAUGACUUCUUUGGUGCAAGUUGUCAGAAGGAGCUUGCUUUCUUCUGACUCAGUUUGUGCCCAAAGAAGUUUUGAGCUCUCACUUAGGCCUCUUUGUAAAGUAACUGCACCAGUGGACUCUGGCAACUGAGGCUCACUCUUACUGGGCCUAUAUUUCAUGUUUAAGCAAGGAAGUGGAACUGUCUCCUUAAACUCAGCAUUUGUGAUGUUAUCAUCAGAUGUGACAAUGCUCUUUAAGGCACAUCGCUGAAGCUUGCCGAAAUAAUCUUUCAAGUUGUUUUGGAUGCUGUGGUAAAUGUGAACAGCAGCAGACCAGGCACUCUUCUGUUGGGGACUCUCUUCAGAUUCAGCCAAGGACUUCAUAUCUGACACGAAAGUCUUAACAACUACUGACGCUGCUGAGCCCACUGGGUGAAUUGACUCUGUCUUUACAAUGCCAGACAAUGUUUGACCUGAUACAGCACCUGUUAACUCAGACUGAACGACUGAACUAGGAAAGCUCAAACUACUGACUUUUUUGGCAAGAACUCCACUCACUGCUUGUAUUGCUGAUGUUUGAAACUCCCGGCUGGAGAGUUUUUGGAUGCUCUUAGACGUGAGCGUGCAGGAGGAACCAGAUUCACUAAUAUUGUAGCUGC